GGAGAACCAGCCCCUGCAGUUCCCUAAGGCUGGCACAAUGGAGGAAGGUUCCUCUCCGCCUGAGUUCCUACCUCGGUGAUGGACUCCGUGAUGGACUAUGAUCCUGACACGUAAGCCAAACGAACCCUUUCCUCUCCAGGUUGCUGUUUAGCACAGCAGAAGCAGCAGCAGCAGGCUUCUCUCUCUCCUCUCAGAAGCAUCAUGUGCUCUUCGAUGCUGAGUCAUCUCACUAGGCCCCUCCCGAGCCCUCUUCCACACCUUCUGAGAGAUAAUGUCUCACGUGAAUCUCUGGCUGGCCUAGAACUUAGAACCAGAGCAGGCUGAUCUCCAAACGAGGACCAUCUCCUGCCUCCCAGAUGCUGGGAUUCCAGGUGUGUGGGUAUGUGCGCCACACACCUGGCUACUGGAACACAUUUUUGUUAAUUAGCUGAAUUAGUCAUAUAGUCGUAUUAUGCUAAACUGCAUUAAUUUAGUUAGGCCAAGUGGUAUUAGUUAAUUAAAUUCCUGUAACAUGGAAGACAGCGGCUGGGGAGACCUUUUCCUAAGUGCUCCUCGCUCUAUCUCCCAAUGUUCGAACUUAAAUCUCUAUUAAAACUAUAUUUUAGGCAGGUGUGGGUGCUCUCAUAGGAUCAGAAAUCCAAAG
ensembl:processed_transcript 2410003L11Rik RIKEN cDNA 2410003L11 gene